rnacentral:rRNA from 1 species
GAUGAACGCUGGCGGCGUGCCUAAUACAUGCAAGUCGAGCGAACAGACGAGGAGCUUGCUCCUCUGACGUUAGCAGCGGACGGGUGAGUAACACGUGGAUAACCUACCUAUAAGACUGGGAUAACUUCGGGAAACCGGAGCUAAUACCGGAUAAUAUAUUGAACCGCAUGGUUCAAUAGUGAAAGACGGUCUUGCUGUCACUUAUAGAUGGAUCCGCGCCGCAUUAGCUAGUUGGUAAGGUAACGGCUUACCAAGGCAACGAUGCGUAGCCGACCUGAGAGGGUGAUCGGCCACACUGGAACUGAGACACGGUCCAGACUCCUACGGGAGGCAGCAGUAGGGAAUCUUCCGCAAUGGGCGAAAGCCUGACGGAGCAACGCCGCGUGAGUGAUGAAGGUCUUCGGAUCGUAAAACUCUGUUAUUAGGGAAGAACAAAUGUGUAAGUAACUAUGCACGUCUUGACGGUACCUAAUCAGAAAGCCACGGCUAACUACGUG